AUUGAACGCUGGCGGAAUGCUUUACACAUGCAAGUCGAACGGCAGCACGGACUUCGGUCUGGUGGCGAGUGGCGAACGGGUGAGUAAUAUAUCGGAACGUGCCCAGUCGUGGGGGAUAACGUAGUGAAAAUUACGCUAAUACCGCAUACGAUCUACGGAUGAAAGCGGGGGAUCGCAAGACCUCGCGCGAUUGGAGCGGCCGAUAUCAGAUUAGGUAGUUGGUGAGGUAAAGGCUCACCAAGCCAACGAUCUGUAGCUGGCCUGAGAGGACGACCAGCCACACUGGGACUGAGACACGGCCCAGACUCCUACGGGAGGCAGCAGUGGGGAAUUUUGGACAAUGGACGCAAGUCUGAUCCAGCCAUUCCGCGUGCAGGACGAAGGCCUUCGGGUUGUAAACUGCUUUUGUACAGAACGAAAAGGUUUCUAUUAAUACUAGGGGCUCAUGACGGUACUGUAAGAAUAAGCACCGGCUAACUACGUGCCAGCCGCCGCCGUAAAAC
rnacentral:rRNA from 1 species